GAUGAACGCUGGCGGCGUGCUUAACACAUGCAAGUCGAACGGAAAGGCCCAAGCUUGCUUGGGUACUCGAGUGGCGAACGGGUGAGUAACACGUGGGUGAUCUGCCCUGCACUUCGGGAUAAGCCUGGGAAACUGGGUCUAAUACCGGAUAGGACCACAUUUUGGAUGGUGUGGUGGAAAGUUUUUCGGUGUGGGAUGAGCUCGCGGCCUAUCAGCUUGUUGGUGGGGUAAUGGCCUACCAAGGCGUCGACGGGUAGCCGGCCUGAGAGGGUGUACGGCCACAUUGGGACUGAGAUACGGCCCAGACUCCUACGGGAGGCAGCAGUGGGGAAUAUUGCACAAUGGGCGCAAGCCUGAUGCAGCGACGCCGCGUGGGGGAUGACGGCCUUCGGGUUGUAAACUCCUUUCGCUAGGGACGAAGCGCUUUUGUGACGGUACCUGGAGAAGAAGCACCGGCUAACUACGUG
rnacentral:rRNA from 1 species